ACUACUAACGUCUGCUAAAUGUUGUGUGACGCGUCUAGUGUGUUGGUGUUAGUGUCUGUGUGCUUGUCACCUCUCGCUUUCAGCCAUCACCGCUGGCUAGCAGCAAUGCGAAAAGGGAAGGAAUUUUAGUCUUUCCCUGCCAGUACAUAGCCUCUCCACAACAAGUCCUAUGCGAUGCCUCCACGUGGAAGCAGACGGAUACUGGGUAUCAUUUUGUCCCAGGCUAAGUUCGCAAGGGCGCACAGGAAGAGGAGUCUCAAAAGCAUUGAAAAGAGAGGUCUAGGUCAAAGGAAAGAUCGCAGUCAAAGACUGACAUGACAAAUACAGAACCACUAGGACAAGAAACCUGACACUUGUGGAAUCAUUUGCAGCAGAAGAAAGUUAAGGCUGACCAGGAUCCUGAAGUGAGGAGCAGUCCCUCUCCUAUUUGAACUGUUUCAUGUGAAAGCAUGGAUUACAAUGGAGGACCGAGACCUAUUAAUAUAAGAAGAGUCCUUUUCCUGUCUGCAUUUUGCAGGCAACAUUUUCUAAAGUGGUAAGUAACAAGCUUGUUGUAAGCUUCUCACUUGAUAUGAAGUGCAAGGGUUCCCCCUCUGAUGUCUCUGCUUUAUCUUUUAUAUCAGAGGAAGAUACAACUGAUCUGGA